rnacentral:rRNA from 1 species
AUUGAACGCUGGCGGCAGGCCUAACACAUGCAAGUCGAGCGGUAGAGAGGAGCUUGCUUUUUCUUGAGAGCGGCGGACGGGUGAGUAAUGCCUAGGAAUCUGCCUAGUGGUGGGGGAUAACGUUCGGAAACGGACGCUAAUACCGCAUACGUCUUACGGGAGAAAGCGGGGGACCUUCGGGCCUCGCGCCAUUAGAUGAGCCUAGGUCGGAUUAGCUAGUUGGUGAGGUAAUGGCUCACCAAGGCUACGAUCCGUAACUGGUCUGAGAGGAUGAUCAGUCACACUGGAACUGAGACACGGUCCAGACUCCUACGGGAGGCAGCAGUGGGGAAUAUUGGACAAUGGGCGAAAGCCUGAUCCAGCCAUGCCGCGUGUGUGAAGAAGGUCUUCGGAUUGUAAAGCACUUUAAGUUGGGAGGAAGGGUAGAACUUAAUACGUGCUACUUGACGUACCGCAG